UAAUACAGAGGUGCCGAGCGUUAGGCGGAAUCACUGGGCUUAAAGCGUGUGUAGGCGGAUGCCUAAGUACCUUGUGAAAUCCCACGGCUUAACCGUGGAACUGCUCGGUAUACUGGGUGUCUUGAGCCACUUAGGGGUUACCGGAACAAAUGGUGGAGCGGUGAAAUGCGUAGAUAUCAUUUGGAACGCCAAUGGUGAAAACAGGUAACUGGGAGUGUGCUGACGCUGAGACACGAAAGCCAGGGGAGCGAACGGGAUUAGAUACCCCGGUAGUCCUGGCCGUAAACGAUGUCGACUAGAUCGUGGUGGCUCUGACGCCAUCACGGUCGAAGCAAAAGUGCUAAGUCGACCGCCUGGGAAGUACGGUCGCAAGGCUA
rnacentral:rRNA from 1 species